AUACGGAGGGUGCAAGCGUUACUCGGAAUCACUGGGCGUAAAGCGCGCGCAGGCGGGCUGAUAAGUUGGAUGUGAAAGCCUACGGCUCAACCGUAGAACUGCAUCCAAAACUGUCAGUCUAGAGUCUGAGAGGGGAAGAUGGAAUUAGUUGUGUAGGGGUAAAAUCCGUAGAGAUAACUAGGAAUACCAAAAGCGAAGGCGAUCUUCUGGAACAGUACUGACGCUGAGGCGCGAAAGCGUGGGGAGCAAACAGAAUUAGAAACCCUAGUAGUCC
rnacentral:rRNA from 1 species